CACAGACGAGUAGCUUGUACUCGGUUGAGAAGAGUCUCAUCCGGUAGAGCGAAUUAUUAGAGGUAUUGGGGUCGAAAAGACCUUAACCUAUUCUCAAACUCCAAACAGAUGAGAUCCACAGAUCAGAGUAGCCAAUUGGGCCAAUUUUGGUAAGCUGUGGGAUGAACCGAACGCAGAGUUAAGGUGCCAAUCUUCUUUCUGCCAAUCAAGGCACUAAAUGAUGUCAGAAAACAUGAUGAUGAUGUG
rnacentral:ncRNA from 1 species